rnacentral:rRNA from 1 species
CAGUCGCCGCGGGAAUACGAAGGGUGCAAGCGUUAAUCGGAAUUACUGGGCGUAAAGCGUGCGUAGGCGGUGAGUUAAGUCUGCUGUGAAAUCCCCGAGCUUAACUUGGGAACUGCAUUUGAAACUGGCAAGCUAGAGUCUUGUAGAGGGGGGUAGAAUUCCAGGUGUAGCGGUGAAAUGCGUAGAGAUCUGGAGGAAUACCGGUGGCGAAGGCGGCCCCCUGGACAAAGACUGACGCUCAGGUGCGAAAGCGUGGGGAGCAAACAGGAUUAGAUACCCGGGUAGUCCCUGUCUCUUAUAC